GAUGAACGCUGGCGGCGUGCCUAAUACAUGCAAGUCGAGCGAACAGACGAGGAGCUUGCUCCUCUGACGUUAGCGGCGGACGGGUGAGUAACACGUGGAUAACCUACCUAUAAGACUGGGAUAACUUCGGGAAACCGGAGCUAAUACCGGAUAAUAUAUUGAACCGCAUGGUUCAAUAGUGAAAGACGGUUUUGCUGUCACUUAUAGAUGGAUCCGCGCCGCAUUAGCUAGUUGGUAAGGUAACGGCUUACCAAGGCGACGAUGCGUAGCCGACCUGAGAGGGUGAUCGGCCACACUGGAACUGAGACACGGUCCAGACUCCUACGGGAGGCAGCAGUAGGGAAUCUUCCGCAAUGGGCGAAAGCCUGACGGAGCAACGCCGCGUGAGUGAUGAAGGUCGUCGGAUCGUAAAACUCUGUUAUUAGGGAAGAACAAAUGUGUAAGUAACUAUGCACGUCUUGACGGUACCUAAUCAGAAAGCCACGGCUAACUACGUG
rnacentral:rRNA from 1 species